rnacentral:rRNA from 1 species
AACGAACGCUGGCGGCAUGCCUAACACAUGCAAGUCGAACGAGAUCUUCGGGUCUAGUGGCGCACGGGUGCGUAACGCGUGGGAAUCUGCCCUUUGGUUCGGAAUAACAGUUGGAAACGACUGCUAAUACCGGAUGAUGACGAAAGUCCAAAGAUUUAUCGCCAGGGGAUGAGCCCGCGUAGGAUUAGCUAGUUGGUGUGGUAAAGGCGCACCAAGGCGACGAUCCUUAGCUGGUCUGAGCGGAUGAUCAGCCACACUGGGACUGAGACACGGCCCAGACUCCUACGGGGCGCCGCAGUGGGGAAUAUUGGACAAUGGGCGAAAGCCUGAUCCAUCAAUGCCGCGUGAGUGAUGAAGGCCUUAGGGUUGUAAAGCUCUUUUACCCGGGAUGAUAAUGACAGUACCGGGAGAAUAAGCUCCGGCUAACUACGUGCCCGCCGCCGCAGUAA